rnacentral:rRNA from 1 species
GACGAACCGUCCUAACGUUGUUCGGAAUCACUGGGCUUAAAGGGUGCGUAGGCGGGUCAGCAAGUCCGGGGUGAAAUCUUUCGGCUUAACCGGAAAAGUGCCUUGGAUACUGCUGGUCUAGAGGGAGGUAGGGGCAUGUGGAACUUCCGGUGGAGCGGUGAAAUGCGUUGAUAUCGGAAGGAACGCCGGUGGCGAAAGCGACGUGCUGGAUCUCUUCUGACGCUGAGGCGCGAAAGCCAGGGGAGCAAACGGG